rnacentral:tRNA from 1 species
GGUGGCUUAGCUCAGUCGGGAGAGCACCUGCUUUACACGCAGGGGGUCGUUGGUUCGAGCCCAACAGUCACCACCA